GAUGAACGCUGGCUACAGGCUUAACACAUGCCAGUCGAGGGGAAACGACGGGGAAGCUUGCUUCCCCGGGCGUCGACCGGCGCACGGGUGAGUAACGCGUAUCCAACCUGCCUCUGACUGAGGGAUAACCCGUCGAAAGUCGGCCUAAUACCUCAUGGCAUCGUCUGCGGGCAUCCAACGACGAUUAAAGAUUUCAUCGGUCAGGGAUGGGGAUGCGUCUGAUUAGCUAGUUGGCGGGGUAACGGCCCACCAAGGCGACGAUCAGUAGGGGUUCUGAGAGGAAGGUCCCCCACAUUGGAACUGAGACACGGUCCAAACUCCUACGGGAGGCAGCAGUGAGGAAUAUUGGUCAAUGGGCGAGAGCCUGAACCAGCCAAGUAGCGUGCAGGAUGACGGCCCUAUGGGUUGUAAACUGCUUUUAUGCGGGGAUAAAGUGAGGGACGUGUCCUUCAUUGCAGGUACCGCAUGAAUAAGGACCGGCUAAUUCCGUG
rnacentral:rRNA from 1 species